UACGGAGGCUGCAAGCGUUAUCCGGAAUGAUUGGGCGUAAAGCGUCCGCAGGUGGCUUUGUAAGUCUGCUGUUAAAGAGUGAGGCUCAACCUCAUAAGAGCAGUGGAAACUACAAGGCUAGAGUACGUUCGGGGCAGAGGGAAUUCCUGGUGUAGCGGUGAAAUGCGUAGAGAUCAGGAAGAACACCGGUGGCGAAAGCGCUCUGCUAGGCCGUAACUGACACUGAGGGACGAAAGCUAGGGGAGCGAAUGGG
rnacentral:rRNA from 1 species